AUACUUACCUGGCAGGGGCGAUACCAUGAUCAAGAAGGCAUUUUCCUAGGGAUAUCUCAUUGUUGGACUUGGAAUGUGUUGACAUCUUUGGCUUCUUCAAAUGUGAGAACCUUAACUGCAUAAUUAGUGGUGGUGAGAACUGUCUUUGUGUUCUCU